rnacentral:rRNA from 1 species
AGAUUAAGUUAUUAAGGGCGCACGGUGGAUGCCUUGGCACUAGAAGCCGAUGAAGGACGUUACUAACGACGAUAUGCUUUGGGGAGCUGUAAGUAAGCUUUGAUCCAGAGAUUUCCGAAUGGGGAAACCCAGCAUGAGUUAUGUCAUGUUAUCGAUAUGUGAAUACAUAGCAUAUCAGAAGGCACACCCGGAGAACUGAAACAUCUUAGUACCCGGAGGAAGAGAAAGAAAAUUCGAUUCCCUUAGUAGCGGCGAGCGAAACGGGAAGAGCCCAAACCAACAAGCUUGCUUGUUGGGGUUGUAGGACACUCUAUACGGAGUUACAAAGGACGACAUUAGACGAAUCAUCUGGAAAGAUGAAUCAAAGAAGGUAAUAAUCCUGUAGUCGAAAAUGUUGUCUCUCUUGAGUGGAUCCUGAGUACGACGGAGCACGUGAAAUUCCGUCGGAAUCUGGGAGGACCAUCUCCUAAGGCUAAAUACUCUCUAGUGACCGAUAGUGAACCAGUACCGUGAGGGAAAGGUGAAAAGCACCCCGGAAGGGGAGUGAAAUAGAACCUGAAACCGUGUGCUUACAAGUAGUCAGAGCCCGUUAAUGGGUGAUGGCGUGCCUUUUGUAGAAUGAACCGGCGAGUUACGAUUUGAUGCAAGGUUAAGCAGUAAAUGUGGAGCCGUAGCGAAAGCGAGUCUGAAUAGGGCGUUUAGUAUUUGGUCGUAGACCCGAAACCAGGUGAUCUACCCUUGGUCAGGUUGAAGUUCAGGUAACACUGAAUGGAGGACCGAACCGACUUACGUUGAAAAGUGAGCGGAUGAACUGAGGGUAGCGGAGAAAUUCCAAUCGAACCUGGAGAUAGCUGGUUCUCUCCGAAAUAGCUUUAGGGCUAGCCUCAAGUGAUGAUUAUUGGAGGUAGAGCACUGUUUGGACGAGGGGCCCCUCUCGGGUUACCGAAUUCAGACAAACUCCGAAUGCCAAUUAAUUUAACUUGGGAGUCAGAACAUGGGUGAUAAGGUCCGUGUUCGAAAGGGAAACAGCCCAGACCACCAGCUAAGGUCCCAAAAUAUAUGUUAAGUGGAAAAGGAUGUGGCGUUGCCCAGACAACUAGGAUGUUGGCUUAGAAGCAGCCAUCAUUUAAAGAGUGCGUAAUAGCUCACUAGUCGAGUGACACUGCGCCGAAAAUGUACCGGGGCUAAACAUAUUACCGAAGCUGUGGAUUGUCCUUUGGACAAUGGUAGGAGAGCGUUCUAAGGGCGUUGAAGCAUGAUCGUAAGGACAUGUGGAGCGCUUAGAAGUGAGAAUGCCGGUGUGAGUAGCGAAAGACGGGUGAGAAUCCCGUCCACCGAUUGACUAAGGUUUCCAGAGGAAGGCUCGUCCGCUCUGGGUUAGUCGGGUCCUAAGCUGAGGCCGACAGGCGUAGGCGAUGGAUAACAGGUUGAUAUUCCUGUACCACCUAUAAUCGUUUUAAUCGAUGGGGGGACGCAGUAGGAUAGGCGAAGCGUGCGAUUGGAUUGCACGUCUAAGCAGUAAGGCUGAGUAUUAGGCAAAUCCGGUACUCGUUAAGGCUGAGCUGUGAUGGGGAGAAGACAUUGUGUCUUCGAGUCGUUGAUUUCACACUGCCGAGAAAAGCCUCUAGAUAGAAAAUAGGUGCCCGUACCGCAAACCGACACAGGUAGUCAAGAUGAGAAUUCUAAGGUGAGCGAGCGAACUCUCGUUAAGGAACUCGGCAAAAUGACCCCGUAACUUCGGGAGAAGGGGUGCUCUUUAGGGUUAACGCCCAGAAGAGCCGCAGUGAAUAGGCCCAAGCGACUGUUUAUCAAAAACACAGGUCUCUGCUAAACCGUAAGGUGAUGUAUAGGGGCUGACGCCUGCCCGGUGCUGGAAGGUUAAGAGGAGUGGUUAGCUUCUGCGAAGCUACGAAUCGAAGCCCC